rnacentral:rRNA from 1 species
UGGGGAAUAUUGGACAAUGGGCGCAAGCCUGAUCCAGCCAUGCCGCGUGAGUGAUGAAGGCCCUAGGGUUGUAAAGCUCUUUCGGCGGGGACGAUAAUGACGGUACCCGCAGAAGAAGCCCCGGCUAACUUCGUGCCAGCAGCCGCGGUAAUACGAAGGGGGCUAGCGUUGCUCGGAAUCACUGGGCGUAAAGGGCGCGUAGGCGGCCGUUCAAGUCGGGGGUGAAAGCCUGUGGCUCAACCACAGAAUUGCCUUCGAUACUGGAUGGCUCGAGACCGGAAGAGGUAAGUGGAACUGCGAGUGUAGAGGUGAAAUUCGUAGAUAUUCGCAAGAACACCAGUGGCGAAGGCGGCUUACUGGUCCGGUUCUGACGCUGAGGCGCGAAAGCGUGGGGAGCAAACAGGAUUAGAUACCCUGGUAGUCCACGCCGUAAACGAUGGAUGCUAGCCGUUGGCGCGCUUGCGCGUCAGUGGCGCCGUUAACACUUUAAGCAC